UACGGGGGGAGCAAGCGUUGUUCGGAUUUACUGGGCGUAAAGGGCGCGUAGGCGGUCAGCACCAGUCAGUUGUGAAAUCUCCGGGCUUAACUCGGAAAGGUCAACUGAUACUGUGCGACUAGAGUGCGGAAGGGGCAACUGGAAUUCUCGGUGUAGCGGUGAAAUGCGUAGAUAUCGAGAGGAACACCUGCGGCGAAGGCGGGUUGCUGGGCCGACACUGACGCUGAUGCGCGAAAGCCAGGGAGCGAACGGG
rnacentral:rRNA from 1 species